CCAAUAGCGUGUAUUAAAGUUGUUGCAGUUAAAAAGCUCGUAGUUGAAUUUCGGGAUCAAUAUGUCGGUCGUGCCUUCGGUACGUACUGGCAUCAUUGAUUUCUCCCUUCUGACGAACCAUGAUGUCCUUAAUUUGGUGUCAUGGGGAGUCAGGACUGUUACUUUGAAAAAAUUAGAGUGGUUAAAGCAGGCUCACGCUUGAAUACAUUAGCAUGGAAUAAUGAAAUAGGACGUUUGACCCUAUUUUGUUGGUUUCUAGGAUCAACGUAAUGAUUAAGAGGAAUAGUUGGGGGCAUUAGUAUUCAAUUGUCAGAUGUGAAAUUCUUGGAUUUAUUGAAGACUAACUACUGCGAAAUCAUUUGCCAAGGAUGUUUUCAUUAAUCAAGAACGAAAGUUAGGGGAUCGAAGACGAUCAGAUAACGUCGUAGUCUUAACCAUAAACUAUGCCGACUAGAGAUCGGAUGAUGUUAAUUUUUUAAUGACUCAUUCGGCGCCUUACG
rnacentral:rRNA from 1 species